rnacentral:rRNA from 1 species
GCCGCGGUAAUACGGGAGGUGCGAGCGUUAAUCGGAAUUACUGGGCGUAAAGCGAACGUAGGCUGUUAAUUAAGUCGAAUGUGAAAUCCCCGGGCUCAACCUGGGAACUGCAUCCGAAACUAUUUAACUAGAGUAUGGGAGAGGAAAGUAGAAUUUCCGGUGUAGCGGUGAAAUGCGUAGAUAUCGGAAGGAAUACCAGUGGCGAAGGCGGCUUUCUGGAACAAUACUGACGCUGAGGUUCGAAAGCGUGGGGAGCAAACAGGAUUAGAUACCCUGGUAGUCCACGCCGUAAACGAUGAGAACUAGAUGUUGGGAGGAUUGGCCUCUCAGUGUCGCAGCUAACGCAAUAAGUUCUCCGCCUGGGGAGUACGACCGCAAGGUUGAAACUCAAAGGAAUUGGCGGGGGAGCACGGUCAUACUUGUUUCCUGA